rnacentral:rRNA from 1 species
GACGAACGCUGGCGGCGUGCUUAACACAUGCAAGUCGAACGGAAAGGCCCUGCUUUUGUGGGGUGCUCGAGUGGCGAACGGGUGAGUAACACGUGAGUAACCUGCCCUUGACUUUGGGAUAACUUCAGGAAACUGGGGCUAAUACCGGAUAGGAGCUCCUGCUGCAUGGUGGGGGUUGGAAAGUUUCGGCGGUUGGGGAUGGACUCGCGGCUUAUCAGUUUGUUGGUGGGGUAGUGGCUUACCAAGGCUUUGACGGGUAGCCGGCCUGAGAGGGUGACCGGCGACAUUGGGACUGAGAUACGGCCCAGACUCCUACGGGAGGCAGCAGUGGGGAAUAUUGCACAAUGGGCGGAAGCCUGAUGCAGCAACGCCGCGUGCGGGAUGACGGCCUUCGGGUUGUAAACCGCUUUCGCCUGUGACGAAGCGUGAGUGACGGUAAUGGGUAAAGAAGCACCGGCUAACUACGUG